rnacentral:rRNA from 1 species
AUUGAACGCUGGCGGCAGGCCUAACACAUGCAAGUCGAGCGGAUGAAGGGAGCUUGCUCCUGGAUUCAGCGGCGGACGGGUGAGGAAUGCCUAGGAAUCUGCCUGGUAGUGGGGGAUAACGUCCGGAAACGGGCGCUAAUACCGCAUACGUCCUGAGGGAGAAAGUGGGGGAUCUUCGGACCUCACGCUAUCAGAUGAGCCUAGGUCGGAUUAGCUAGUUGGUGGGGUAAAGGCCUACCAAGGCGACGAUCCGUAACUGGUCUGAGAGGAUGAUCAGUCACACUGGAACUGAGACACGGUCCAGACUCCUACGGGUGGCAGCAGUGGGGAAUAUUGGACAAUGGGCGAAAGCCUGAUCCAGCCAUGCCGCGUGUGUGAAGAAGGUCUUCGGAUUUUAAAGCACUUUAAGUUGGGAGGAAGGGCAGUAAGUUAAUACCUUGCUGUUUUGACGUUACCAACAGAAUAAGCACCGGCUAACUUCGUG